AGUUCAAGAGGUUUUUUUCUUCUUUCCUUUUUUCUUACAGAACCUGAGAAAAUGGACAGCACUGUUGGGGGCUUGUGAGUUCCUGUCACAGUACUGAGCUUGAACAAUUUCGAUUAAAGCCCCAUGUUUGAGACUGUCAUUAGACCUGCAUUAAAUUACAUAUCUGGAGUGUUAAAAAAUAAAGAGUACAGUAGCUUUUUCUCAGCUACCUAAGGGACAAUAUGUUGCUGCUGAUGCAGGUGAUGAUGAUACAACCCAGCAGAAGAUGAACUUCUUCCCAAAGAUGGAGAGACUACUCCCAGUCUAUGAUAAGGGAACCCCUGUUUUUGGCUGAAACAUCUCUCCUCAACUUUUGUCAUCAGUGACAGAGCUAAGAGUUGAAGCUAGAUCUUCUGUAGCAGAAGAGAACCUGGAACAAAGGAAUUACACAAAUCCUUUGGAAAGAGGAAUGGAGGCCUCCAUG